rnacentral:lncRNA from 1 species
UUAUUUUGUCUUUUGUCUUUUUAGGGCUGCACCCGUGUCAUAUGGAGGUUCCCAGGGAAGGGGUCAAAUCAGAGCUACAGCUGCAGGCCUAAGCCACAGCCACAGCAAUGCCAGAUCCGAGCCGUGUUUGUGACCUACACCACAGCUCAUAGCAACGCUGGGUCCUUAACCCACUGAGCGAGGACUCAACCUCAUGGUUCCUAGUCAGAUUUAUUUCCACUGUGCCAAGAUGGGAACUCCCAAGGAUUUUAUUAUUUAAUUAAAUAAUCACGGUAAUCAUGUAGAUUGAUAUUACUAUCUCAAUUUUAUAAGAAAGGAAGCUCAGGCUUAGAGAAGUUGAAUAACUUGCCCAACAUAUAGUAAUUAAUUUGUUUAUGGUUCAGGUUUAAAACCAAAUUUGUGUGACUAUAGAGCCCAGAUUCCUGUCCACUAUACUGAAAACAAUGUGUAUUAGUUCCUGAUGUGAGGAAUUCAUUCUGGGUCAAGGGAGGGAUUCCAACAAUAAUGCAUGUUGUGUUACUUUACAGUUGCAAAGCUUUCCCACAUUUAUCUUCUGUUUUUUUAAAAAAUUAUUAUAGUACAGUUGAUUUAUAGUGCUGUGCCAAUUUCUGCUGUACAGCAAAAGUGGAGAUAUAUAUAUAUAUAUCUUCUAACUCGAUUAUCAUAAUAAUUGUGCAAGAUGGACAGGACCAUUAUUAUUAUCACCUGUAUAUCAGAGAUAUUGUUAUUGAGACUCAGAUAGCCUGGACGAUCUGCUUAUGUUCACACAGAGAUUUAACAAUACGUAUGGGGACUGAAGGACUUUUACUUCAAAGCAUGCUCAUUUCCAUGAACUGCUUUGCCUUUUGUUAAUAUACUAACUGAAAGAUGUAGGGCCAUCAGUGGUGGUUUGGAGCUGUGUCCUGUGUUGCAGGUCAACAGGAGAUCCUGAAAGAGGAAAGGCAUGGCCUAAUAAAACACACAAGACUCUUUUACAUUUUAAAAGUGGAGGACCAGGAGGCACUCUGUUCCACUGAACAAAGGCCCCUAGGCUUUAGCCCACAAGACUUUUGUUAGGGAAAGUGACAUGUUUAGAUUAGUGAGCAAAAGUAGGCAAAGGGAAUGUUGAAGCUAUCUCUUAGUGAGAUUUAGGGAGACUACUAACAAUAACAGUCACAGGUGUAUACAUCUAGGAUAUAGUGCAGCUGCCUAAAGAACAACAUAGUUAACAUAUAAGCCCCUUCCUUUAUUUUGACAGGAGGCCCUGCACUUUAGAACUCUGCAUCAGUAGACAUGCUUAUCUGGCUUUUGCCAUCACAGGUAUUCCUUGGCUUAUCAUGCUUUUGCACUUACCAAGUUUGCUUUCUGCAGAGUUCAGCAGUUCAGUGGUCUUCAACAGUUUGGUGGUGACAGAGGCCCCUAGACUACAUUCAGGGACACAUGGAAAGGCCAUGAUAUGGGUAUGGGGAUCUACAGAAGAGCCCAAAAGACCCCACAUUCUCAGGCACUCCAAAGACUCUCCAUGAAUGGGUAGGGUCUUUUCAAUCAUGGAGAUGGACUCCGUGACAAAGAGGCAGAUUCAAGGCUCUGUGAAUGCAGCAGCUGAAAAGUCAAGGCUAGGGCUUUUAAGGUUCACUAUCCCCUUUUAUACUUGCCCACUGAAGAUUUUUCAUCUCAGGAUCUUUGCCAGGGUGUGACAUUAAUGAGAAGUAAAAAUGAAUUCUCUUUCCCAGAGAGGUUGGUGCUACAUGGAAAAUUUAGGUGGUAUACCAUCUAGCAUGCAAAGAGCAAUUCCACUGACAAGAGUUGUAAGGAUAUUUAAUUUUAAAAAUUAUUCCAUUGUCUAUGCUUUUCCAUAGAGCACUUUUUUUUUAAAUUGAAGCCAAUAAACUUUGUCAGCAAUAAUUUAGCAUUGAAAUAGUAUUAAUCUUUAACUUCAUGAGAAUUCUAAAUUUUGAUUCCAUGAGGUUUCAUUUCUAAAAUAUGCAUGAGGACCAAAAUUUCUUAAUUGAAAUAUUAAAAAGAAAAUAUAUAUCCUUCCUCAUUUCUUGGAACUGAAACUUGUUCAUGGUAAUGGCAAUUCUUUUGGAAGCAAAGUCAGUGCCCUGAACUGGACAGAAUCAAUUUCCUUAGUAUAUUUAGGAUUUUUCAAUUAUUUGAGUGUCAUUCCAAAUGUCACUGGUUGUUUACUUACAGGACCAUAGGUGAGAAGUGAAAUGUAGAAUAAUGUUGAACUAAAUGUAAUAAGACAAUUUGGCAUAAUUAGAAAAUAUGUUUCCUUGCUUAUCUAAGUUCAUUGCAUGCAGUAUUUUACUUCUUGUUUCUUCUAUUGACGGUCUACCUGGAUGAAAGCAUGAAUAACUAAAGAGCAGGUGGUUCUAGCAAAGGGAGGUGUACAUUUUGAGAAUGGAUCAUGACCAAGGGUCCUUCUUUGAACUUGAUAAAGAAAAGAGGAUUAGGUUCAGUUACAACACAAGGCUUUCAAAGAAGUCGUAGAGUUGGAGAUGGGAAAGUGGGGUCAGAAAUCUGAAAGGGGCCAGCAGGGUACCAAUUCCAGGAGGUUCAAAGGACACCAGUGUUUGCAUUUCCAGAAAGUUUCUUUAGGUUGAAGUAAUUCCUAGAAACAACUUAUCGUGGAUUGUCCAAAUUUGUCCCAAGUGCUAUCAUUUGGAUAACAAAGUGUGUGGUUUAUGUAAACUGAAAGCUUAAAUCCUAGGCAUUGAGUAAAAAAGGAGCAUUGAUGUUGGAGAUUAAGCAAGAAAAGUGUGAAGUACCGCAUUCAAUGGAAACUCUUUGUUUUGGCAAAGAGCAUGGGUUGGUUAACCUUGAAUUGAGGGAGAUCAGCUUAAUCUGUUGGUUUUAAUCUGAGCUGAGAGCAUGGUGUUCAGUGGAGUGGGGGGUACUCUUGGGAAUAAUAGUCCCUAAUAAAUGCAGUUAGGGCCGUUGUGCAAUAGAAUUUUUCAAUCCAUUCAAACUCAUGUUGAUAAGUUUUGAGUAUAUGCUUAUCACACCCCCAGCUGCCCUGCACUUAGUGGGCUCAAGGGGCAUGGGAUUCUUUGCACUGUAAAGGUAUCACAAUGAGACCACACAACCCUGUUAGCCUGAAGUGUCUCCAUCAGGAUGUUUUCUUGGAAUCAAUUAUCCCAGCUUUGGGCUGUGCCUAAUUAUCAUAGAAUCUGCACCAGUCAUCAUCCAUUUGUUGUCCUGUUUUCACUACUGGAUUGUGUAGUCUCUGGCAGGACUGUACUUUAAAUUUUACUUCCGUGAACAAUUAUGUUUCCACAGUGACUGGCAUAAAUGGUAACUCUGACACCACGUGUUCAGUGAAUUAGUGAGUAAAACCUAGAAGCCCCAGUGAGAUCUUAAGGGAUUGAAGAAAGAGGAGAAGUUGUACCAAGUCAAACUUUUUAAACAACUUAUUGAAAAAUAGUUGAUUUACAGUGUUGUGUUAGUUUUGGGUGUACAGCAAAGUGGUUCGGAGAUAUAUGUAUAUUCUUUUCCAUAAUAGGUUAUUACAAGAUAUUAAGUAUAGUUGCCUGUGGAAUACAGUAGGUCCUUGUUGUUUAUUUUAUAUGUAGUAGUGUGUAUAUUUUAACCCUAAAUUUAUAAUUUAUCUGGUAAUUUUGUUUUCUAUGUGGCAUAAAAGCCAACUUUGAAAGGCUGAGCAAAGCUGCAUGUGUCCUGGCUGAGCAUCUACCUUUCCCUCAUUUCCAUGUAUUUUCACUCAUUGCCCUUACGAGCCCCACCUUCACAGCCAUCCACCCAUCUUGCCUUCCUGGCCGUUGUCUCCAGAUAGGAUGGAAGACAGAGAAUGGGCUGUUCCUUUCACAGUCAGUGUCUGAUUGAGCAUCUGUGAGGUGUCUAUCUCCUCUUUUACUUUAGACACACAAUCACUUGGAUGCAUUAGAAAUGAGUUUGCUUAGCGAAGCUCGCAUUAAUUAACAGCCCUGUGUCCCACAGCGCCGUCUCACUGCUUAGUCUUUUCCCACCUCUCCAUCCUCAUGAACUCUACCAAUUCUUCACCACGUUUCUCACCAAAAUGCAGUCUUGUGGUCAGAGUCCUAAAUGAUCAGGUUCCUCUGCACUGUGCUCCUCUCAGCUGUAGGUGGUGCCUUUUUUCACUCAGCUAAGAACUUGCUUGGGGUUCCUCUUUUAUUAGCACUUCCUUACACGUAAGCUGAGGUCCACGUGAAGCCCCCAUGUUGAUUUUUCCAGGUGGAGACUCUGUGAUUUCUUGGCUCCGGGAUGGAAAGUGUAGAAACGCUGAGAUGAGUGAACAGCUGUACAAUUUCAAAGCAUUAUUUAGUAAUGACUGCCUUUUAAGAGUAAGAACAAAAGCUGAGUAUACUGCUUGUACUGCAUACUAAUCAACAUUUAUUCAUAAAGUUCAAGUUCAAACCUCACUGUCUCUAAAUAUUUUCAUUAUUUAUUACAAUUAGCAUAUGCAUGAUUCACAUUACCUGUCUGACUUAUUCAAGCAAGCUGGUCCUUUGGCAUUGUACUUGAGGGGAUUUUGGACAGAUCUUUACCACAGACAUGUGAUAACAAUCCCACCUAAGCCAAGUGGUGCCGGGCAGCAAGACACUGCCCUCUUGCUUGAAUGAAUGUUCAUAGGAUGUGGAAAUGGUGCCAUGCUAGAAUGUAUUAAUUAAUAUCUUAGAGGCAGAAAGUAAGGAAAAUGAGUCUUCGUGUUAUACUUUGAAAAAUGAGUCAUGGUAGUUAAUUAACCUAUCUAAUUCCCCAAGGUAAAUGAGUGCCUGAAUCAAUUCAUAAUUAACAAUUUAAAUAAUCCUGCUUUUAAAGUAGCCUUAUUAUACCUAUAAUGAAAGUUAGAAACCCGAAAAUCUGAUGUAUGUUCUCUCAUUGCAUUACGUGUAUCUGCUUCAUGUAAUAAAGGAAAACUCACUUGAGGCUGCGUAUCAUCUCCGUUUAUCCUUUACAUCCUAUUUGGUAUCUUGUAGGCUGCUUUAUACCUCAGAAGGCUCUUAAUAAAGUCUCAAAAAAUGAACUAUAUUUCCCUUCUUUGAACUCACAGUUUGUU